rnacentral:rRNA from 1 species
UACGUAGGGUGCGAGCGUUGUCCGGAAUUAUUGGGCGUAAAGAGCUCGUAGGCGGUCUGUCGCGUCGAUCGUGAAAACUUGGGGCUUAACCCUGAGCUUGCGGUCGAUACGGGCAUGACUGGAGUUCGGCAGGGGAGACUGGAAUUCCUGGUGUAGCGGUGAAAUGCGCAGAUAUCAGGAGGAACACCGGUGGCGAAGGCGGGUCUCUGGGCCGAUACUGACGCUGAGGAGCGAAAGCGUGUGGAGCGAACAGG